UACGAAGGGGGCUAGCGUUGCUCGGAAUUACUGGGCGUAAAGGGCGCGUAGGCGGACAGUUUAGUCAGAGGUGAAAGCCCAGGGCUCAACCUUGGAAUUGCCUUUGAUACUGGCUGUCUUGAGUUCGGGAGAGGUGAGUGGAAUGCCGAGUGUAGAGGUGAAAUUCGUAGAUAUUCGGCGGAACACCAGUGGCGAAGGCGACUCUCUGGUCUGUAACUGACGCUGAGGCGCGAAAGCGUGGGGAGCAAACAGG
rnacentral:rRNA from 1 species